UACGUAGGGGGCGAGCGUUGUCCGGAGUUACUGGGCGUAAAGCGCUUGUAGGCGGUCCACCAAGUUUGGGGUGACAGUUGCCGACUUAAUCGGCAAAGUGCCUCAAAGACUGGCAGACUUGAGGGCCACAGAGGGACAUGGAACUCCAGGUGUAGUGGUGAAAUGCGUAGAUAUCUGGAAGAACACCAAAGGCGAAGGCAGUGUCCUGGGUGGUCGCUGACGCUGAGAGGCGAAAGCCAGGGGAGCGAACGGG
rnacentral:rRNA from 1 species